rnacentral:rRNA from 1 species
UGUAUCAGUACAAACCUUCAUAAGGUGAAACCGCGAACGGCUCAUUAUAACAGCUAUAAUUUACUAGACCUUGAGCAACUACUUGGAUACCUGUGGUAAUUCUAGAGCUAAUACAUGCACCGAAGUUGUUCCUUGCGGAGCAAUGCAUUUAUUUGAGCAAAACCAGGCGGCUUCGGCCGUUUCUGUUGAUUCAGAAUAACUAAGCUGAUCGCAUGGGCUUGUCCCGGCGACGUGUCUUUCAAGUGUCUGCCUUAUCAACUUUCGAUGGUAGUGUACGUGACUACCAUGGUGUUGACGGGUAACGGAGGAUAAGGGUUCGACUCCGGAGAAGGGGCCUGAGAAAUGGCCACUACGUCUAAGGAUGGCAGCAGGCGCGCAAAUUACCCACUCUCGGUUCGAGGAGGUAGUGACGAAAAAUAACAAGGCCGUUCUCUUUGAGGCCGGCCAUUGGAAUGGGUACAACUUAAACCCUUUAACGAGUAUCAAUGAGAGGGCAAGUCUGGUGCCAGCAGCCGCGGUAAUUCCAGCUCUCAAAAUGCAUAGAACCAUUGCUGCGGUUAAAAAGCUCGUAGUUGGAUCUGUGCCGGCGACGUGGUCCGCCCUAACCGGCGGUACUGCGCUCGUCGGCUUUGGGCCGGUCUUCGGUCGGUCGCCUUCACUGGCGGCCGCUCGUGGCUGGCUGGUUUACUUUGAGCAAAUCAGAGUGCUCAGCACAGGCGUCUCGCCGGAAUGUUCGUGCAUGGAAUAAUAGAAAAGGAUUUCGGUUCUCUUUUAUUGGUUUUGUGAACUGAGAUAAUGGUUAACAGAGACGGACGGGGGCAUUCGUAUUGCUGCGUGAG